rnacentral:rRNA from 1 species
CCUACGGGAGGCAGCAGUGGGGAAUAUUGGACAAUGGGCGAAAGCCUGAUCCAGCCAUGCCGCGUGUGUGAAGAAGGCCUUCGGGUUGUAAAGCACUUUCAGUGGGGAAGAAAGCCUUGGGGCUAAUACCCUCGAGGAAGGACAUCACCCACAGAAGAAGCACCGGCUAACUCCGUGCCAGCAGCCGCGGUAAUACGGAGGGUGCGAGCGUUAAUCGGAAUUACUGGGCGUAAAGCGCGCGUAGGCGGUCUGAUAAGCCGGUUGUGAAAGCCCCGGGCUCAACCUGGGAACGGCAUCCGGAACUGUCAGGCUAGAGUGCAGGAGAGGAAAGUAGAAUUCCAGGUGUAGCGGUGAAAUGCGUAGAGAUCGGGAAGAAUACCAGUGGCGAAGGCGGCCUUCUGGACUGACACUGACGCUGAGGUGCGAAAGCGUGGGUAGCAAACAGGAUUAGAUACCCGGGUAGUC